rnacentral:snRNA from 1 species
AUACUUACCUGGCACAGAAACACCAUGAUCAGGCAGGUGGUUUUCCUAGGGUAAGGAUCAUCCCCUGCAUUCCGGGUGUGCUGAGCCCUGUGAUUUUCCCACAUGCAGGAAACUCCACUGCAUAAUUUGUGUUAGCGGGGGACUGCAUUAGGUUACAAAGCUGGUGAAGGGCCCGG